CUUCUCCGUAAGAAGUGGAUGACAAGUUGAGACGUGUCUGCUUAGUCAUAAAUCAUAGACAUUUAUAGACAUAUAAAUCAAUAAAAACGCUGUCAGAUACGACCACUAAGGAAGAAGAUCAAUAUCCAUUCCAGCGCAGAAGAUGGCCUUCUUUGCACGCCACAUCGGCCCUUACUGGAGAGCGUGGAUCACGUUCCUAGCGCCCUUGGUUCUUCUGCCCCUGCCCGUUGUGUCGGCCACUAACGUG